GACGAACGCUGGCGGCGUGCUUAACACAUGCCAGUCGAACGGAAAGGCCCUGCUUUUGUGGGGUGCUCGAGUGGCGAACGGGUGAGUAACACGUGAGUAACCUGCCCUUGACUUUGGGAUAACUUCAGGAAACUGGGGCUAAUACCGGAUAGGAGCUCCUGCUGCAUGGUGGGGGUUGGAAAGUUUCGGCGGUUGGGGGUGGACUCGCGGCUUAUCAGCUUGUUGGUGGGGUAGUGGCUUACCAAGGCUUUGACGGGUAGCCGGCCUGAGAGGGUGACCGGCCACAUUGGGACUGAGAUACGGCCCAGACUCCUACGGGAGGCAGCAGUGGGGAAUAUUGCACAAUGGGCGGAAGCCUGAUGCAGCAACGCCGCGUGCGGGAUGACGGCCUUCGGGUUGUAAACCGCUUUCGCUUGUGACGAAGCGUGAGUGACGGUAAUGGGUAAAGAAGCACCGGCUAACUACGUG
rnacentral:rRNA from 1 species